AGUGAACGCUGGCGGUAGGCCUAACACAUGCAAGUCGAACGGCAGCACAGUAAGAGCUUGCUCUUACGGGUGGCGAGUGGCGGACGGGUGAGGAAUACAUCGGAAUCUACUUUUUCGUGGGGGAUAACGUAGGGAAACUUACGCUAAUACCGCAUACGACCUACGGGUGAAAGCAGGGGAUCUUCGGACCUUGCGCGAUUGAAUGAGCCGAUGUCGGAUUAGCUAGUUGGCGGGGUAAAGGCCCACCAAGGCGACGAUCCGUAGCUGGUCUGAGAGGAUGGUCAGCCACCGUGGAAGUGAGACACGGUCCAGACUCCUGCGGGAGGCAGCAGUGGGGAAUAGUGGACAAUGGGGGGAAGCCUGAUACAGCCAUACCGCGUGGGUGAAGAAGGCGUUCGGGUUGUAAAGCCCUUUUGUUGGGAAAGAAAAGCAGCAGGUUAAUACCCCGCUGUUCUGACGGUACCCAAAGAAUAAGCACCGGCUAACUUCGUG
rnacentral:rRNA from 1 species